ensembl:snoRNA
GGCUUCCUAGUACUUACCAUGGUCUGUGUUCUUACGCUGACUGUAUAGAAACAGGAGGCAGAGUAAACCGACCCCACAUAUACCUCAGCCCUGGCCCUGUGCUGCAUCUGUAUUGUGAAUCAGGAGACAUGG